GCAGGGCAUGGUGGUGUAUGCCUGUAAUCCCAGUAACUUGGGAGGCUGAGGCAGGAGGAUUGCAGAUUCGAAGCCAGCCUCAG
rnacentral:sRNA from 1 species